AGAAGAAUGGCUUGAACCUGGAGGCGGAGGUUGCAGUGAGCUGAGAUCACACCACUGCACUCCAGCCUGGGCGACAGAA
rnacentral:snRNA from 1 species